rnacentral:lncRNA from 1 species
UUAACUAUAAUUGGUGUUUUUAAUUUAUCCCAUUUACUUUCUGGUAAGCAAUUAUAUCUACAUAAAUUAGCUUCUGCUCCUAUAUCUAUCAUAGGCGUAUAAUAUCUACUGUAAUAUCCUUCUACUACUAUCUUCAUUAAUACAUAUAUUUUCAUUUUACUCUUUGUUAUAUUUUAAGAAUAACUUUUCUUUGUUAUAUGUUAAGGUUAAUUGUGUAUGUUCUAUAUUAUAUGGUUUUACUUGUUCUAACCAUUUUAUUCCUAAUAUUAUAUCUGCUUUUUGCAUUUCUUCCUUUACUUCGAAUUCUAUUUUUAUUUUUCUAACUCCUAUUAUUAUUUCUUUUUCUGCUAUAUUUUUACUAUUUAUUAAACUUCUUGGUAGAUCUGGGCACAUAUCAUUAUCAGUUUUUAUUUCAUCAUUUUUACUAGAUAUUUUGCUAUAUAAUUUUCUUCUUGUCCUGUAUUUAAGAGUAUUAAAUAUUCUUUUUCAUUUAUUUUUCCCGUUAUGUAAUAUUGGUUUAAAUUACUUAUUG